rnacentral:rRNA from 1 species
GAAAUUGAAUUCUCCGUGAAGAUGCGGAGUACCCGCGGUUAGACGGAAAGACCCCGUGCACCUUUACUAUAGCUUUACAUUGGCAUUCGUAGUGGCAUGUGUAGGAUAGGUGGUAGGCUUUGAAGCCUGGGCGCCAGCUCAGGUGGAGCCACCCUUGAAAUACCACCCUUAUUACUAUGGAUGUCUAACCGCGGCCCGUUAUCCGGGUCCGGGACAAUGUAUGGUGGGUAGUUUGACUGGGGCGGUCGCCUCCUAAAGAGUAACGGAGGCGCGCGAUGGUGGGCUCAGAACGGUCGGAAAUCGUUCGCUGAGUGCAAUGGCAUAAGCCUGCCUGACUGCGAGACUGACGAGUCGAGCAGAGACGAAAGUCGGUCAUAGUGAUCCGGUGGUCCCGAGUGGAAGGGCCAUCGCUCAACGGAUAAAAGGUAC